CGCAUCCCUGAUAAGGAUGAGGUCACAAGUUCGAUUCUUGUUAGCCCCA
rnacentral:tRNA from 1 species